AGUGAACGCUGGCGGUAGGCCUAACACAUGCAAGUCGAACGGCAGCACAGUAAGAGCUUGCUCUUACGGGUGGCGAGUGGCGGACGGGUGAGGAAUACAUCGGAAUCUACUUUUUCGUGGGGGAUAACGUAGGGAAACUUACGCUAAUACCGCAUACGACCUACGGGUGAAAGCAGGGGAUCUUCGGACCUUGCGCGAUUGAAUGAGCCGAUGUCGGAUUAGCUAGUUGGCGGGGUAAAGGCCCACCAAGGCGACGAUCCGUAGCUGGUCUGAGAGAAUGAUCGGCGACACUGGAAGUGAGACACGGUCCAGACUACUACGGGAGGCAGCAGUGGGGAAUAUUGGACAAUGGGCGCGAGCCUGAUCCAGCCAUACCGCGUGGGUGAAGAAGGCCUUCGGGUUGUAAAGCCCUUUUGUUGGGAAAGAAAAGCAGCAGGUUAAGACCCCGCUGUUCUGACGGUACCCAAAGAAUAAGCACCGGCUAACUUCGUG
rnacentral:rRNA from 1 species